GGGGGCGUCACGGCUUCGACGGGAUUGCUUGUGGCAGAGAGGCAUGCCGGGGUGUGGACACCCGUAAUCGCUCACAAAACCAUAAGUGCCGAACCUCAGUUCGCUCUUGCUGCUUAAUUGUAAGUAGCCGAUCGCUCCAGCUUAGCCUACGGGCCGGUACCGAUCGUCGCACAGUAGGCUGGUCAACGCUGUUCCGUCUGUACGGCAAUGACGAGAUCAAUCAGGCUGGUCGUCAUCGUUUCUUCGCCCGUUCCUAGCGGUGAUGACGAGACAAAGAUGAACGUGGAAAAGCAUGAAAGCUCUCUGUUGGAAGUUUUUUCGGACGUGGGUUCGACUCCCACCGCCUCCACCA
rnacentral:tmRNA from 1 species